rnacentral:tRNA from 1 species
GCUAAAGUGGCAGAGCUCGGAAAUGCGGGAGGUUUAAGCCCUCCUAAGCGAAGGUUCAAAUCCUUCCUUUGGCU